CUAGAUCAGAAGCGAGAAUGUUGACAUGAGUAGCGACAAAGAGGGUGAGAGACCCUCUCGCCGAAAGUCCAAGGGUUCCUGCUUAAAGCUAAUCUGAGCAGGGUGAGCCGGCCCCUAAGGCGAGGCCGAAAGGCGUAGCCGAUGGGAACUAGGUUAAUAUUCCUAGGCCAGUGGGAAGUGACGGAUCUCGAAGGUUGUCUGCCCUUAUCGGAUUGGGUGGGCCGCUUAGAGGUUCCUGGAAAUAGCCCCACAUCAGACCGUACCCUAAACCGACACAGGUGGACUGGUAGAGUAUACCAAGGCGCUUGAGAGAACCACGUUAAAGGAACUCGGCAAAAUGCCUCCGUAAGUUCGCGAGAAGGAGGCCCCAUCAGUAGGCAACUAUUGGUGGGGGGCACAAACUAGGGGGUGGCGACUGUUUACUUAAAACACAGGGCUGUGCGAAGCCGUAAGGCGACGUAUACAGUCUGACGCCUGCCCGGUGCUGGAAGAUUAAGAGGAGGGGUGCAAGCUCUGAAUUGAAGUCCCAGUAAACGGCGGCCGUAACUAUAACGGUCCUAAGGUAGCGAAAUUCCUUGUCGGGUAAGUUCCGACCUGCACGAAUGGCGUAACGAUCUCCCCGCUGUCUCUAACGUGGACUCAGCGAAAUUGAACUGUGUGUCAAGAUGCACACUUCCCGCGGUUAGACGGAAAGACCCCAUGCACCUUUACUCUAGCUUUGCACUGGCAUCAGGAUUGUGAUGUGCAGGAUAGGUGGUAGGCAUUGAAGCGGGGACGCCAGUCUUCGUGGAGCCUCCCUUGAGAUACCACCCUUUGCACUCUUGAUGUCUAACCGCGGCCCGUUAUCCGGGUCCGGGACCCUGCAUGGUGGGGAGUUUGACUGGGGCGGUCGCCUCCUAGACAGUAACGGAGGCGCGCGAUGGUUGGCUCAGACCGGUCGGAAAUCGGUCGUUGAGUGCAAUGGCAGAAGCCAGCCUGACUGCAAGUCUGACAAGACGAGCAGAGACGAAAGUCGGUCAUAGUGAUCCGGUGGUCCCAAGUGGGAGGGCCAUCGCUCAACGGAUAAAAGGUACGCUGGGGAUAACAGGCUGAUGAUGCCCAAGAGUCCAUAUCGACGGCAUCGUUUGGCACCUCGAUGUCGGCUCAUCUCAUCCUGGGGCUGGAGCAGGUCCCAAGGGUAUGGCUGUUCGCCAUUUAAAGAGGUACGUGAGCUGGGUUUAGAACGUCGUGAGACAGUUCGGUCCCUAUCUGCCGUGGGUGUAGGAGACUUGAGAAGAGUUGCCCCUAGUACGAGAGGACCGGGGUGAACGAACCACUGGUGGACCAGUUAUCGUGCCAACGGUAGUGCUGGGUAGCUAUGUUCGGACAGGAUAAACGCUGAAGGCAUCUAAGCGUGAAGCCCCCUUCAAAACAAGGUCUCCCUUGAGAGCCGUGGAAGACCACCACGUUUAUAGGCCGGAGGUGUAAGUGCAGCAAUGCAUUCAGCCGACCGGUACUAAUUGCUU
rnacentral:rRNA from 1 species